rnacentral:lncRNA from 1 species
CCAGAGGCUGGCGCUUCUAAACACUAGGAAACACUCUGAUAAGCCAGCUUGUAGCUGGACGGUAGUAUCCUGGUUUGGAAGGCAUCCGUGACACAGAGGUUUCAUUGGCAGCAUAAGAAAUGCAAGAAGAUUUUGGGUGGAAGUGCGGCAGCAUGGAGAAGGGACGGGUGGACAGUAUGGGGAAUGGGAGAAGCCCACCUUACCGAGCACCUACUCCAUCAAGGGCGCAGUCCUGAUGUUCCCACCCAGCGCACAGCUCCGGCACACGAGACUACCCUGGAGUCGCUGUGCAGGGAAGCACUGUUUGCUGCUCGGUCAGGUCAGCACCUAACAGUUCAUUAGGGGGAACCAAGGAGGAGGCGGGGGUCGCAGGUCCUGUCAGCUCCAAGGCAGCUGCGGACAUGAGGCACGUGGACCUGGGAACACUGCAAGGGCCAGAGUUCCCCUGAGUUCAGCCGCUCCCAGGGCCUCGCAGAAAUCCUGGGGAGGAUAUUGGAUUUCCAUUAACAAGAAAUCUGGGGUGCCAGCCAGUUCCAUUUAAAUUUCAAAGAGCAGCAUGUCUGCCACCGGCGUUUGGGCUACAGCCACAGCUGCGGAGAUGGCGGGGGAGACAGCCCCACAGAGGGCUCCAAAGAAGCCACCUGGUCAGCAGGGAGCAGACACAGGGCACUCUCUGGAGAACAACUGGACUCCUAGGGGUCACUUCCGGCUUCCUCCCUGCAUUGUGGACAAGCUCUGUUAGCAGAGGUACAGGUCCCCAGGGGACGCCAUGCCUGGGCCUGGUGGGGAGCUAGGACUUGGGCUCCCUUGGGCUC